GAUUAUGGCUCAGGAUGAACGCUAGCUACAGGCUUAACACAUGCAAGUCGAGGGGCAGCAUGAGAUUAGCUUGCUAAUCUUGAUGGCGACCGGCGCACGGGUGAGUAACGCGUAUCCAACCUUCCCCUUAGUAGGGCAUAGCCCGGCGAAAGUCGGAUUAAUACCCUAUGUUCUUCGUAGAGGACAUCUGAAAUGAAGCAAAGAUUUAUCGCUAAGGGAUGGGGAUGCGUCUGAUUAGGUAGUCGGCGGGGUAACGGCCCACCGAGCCUGCGAUCAGUAGGGGUUCUGAGAGGAAGGUCCCCCACAUUGGAACUGAGACACGGUCCAAACUCCUACGGGAGGCAGCAGUGAGGAAUAUUGGUCAAUGGGCGCGAGCCUGAACCAGCCAAGUAGCGUGCAAGGAUGACGGCCCUAUGGGUUGUAAACUGCUUUUAUGCGGGGAUAAAGUGCACCACGUGUGGUGUUUUGUAGGUACCGCAUGAAUAAGGACCGGCUAAUUCCGUGCCAGCAGCAGC
rnacentral:rRNA from 1 species